AGAGAUGGGAAAGAAGGGUCAGGAACUUGAACAGAAAUCCAGCCCUCAGUACAUUGCAAGACGAGGCCUCACUAUGUUGCCCAGGCUGAUCUUGAACUCCUGGGUUCAAGAGAUCCACCCAUUUCAGCCUCCCAAAGCGCUGGGAUUACAGGUGUGAGCCACCGUGCCCAGCCCUGAUGCAUUUUCUGAAAGCUCUUCAGAAGCAAGUAAAUUGCUAAAGUAUUGCGCCUCCUAAAACGUUCAUGGAAAGGAUAGAAAGGACCCUGACAUCAUUUGCACUAGAAACCCUGAGACAAAGUCAGAAAGAUCUGGAAAGACCUGCCAGAGGAAAUCUGCCACCCCUCUGGACUAGGAGACUUCAUCUACAUAAAAGUGGGCUGUCACCAUGCUGGGAGGGACCCUUUAAAGUGCUGCCGAUGACCCAUAAGGCUAUCAGUGCAAAAGGCAAACUGCUGAAUCCAGGCUUCCUAUGUGAAGCUAGCACCACAGGACAGCUAGACUGUGCUUUCUAAAAAGGACCUAAAACUGAAGUUUUCUACUCAACUGAAAAGAAGUAUUCUAGAAAAUGUAUUACUAUUCCUAUAGGCUGCCUGGCUGUUCUGUUCAUGACGGUGGUUAUUCCAAUUACUUUAAGAAUUAUAUUUAUUAGAAAACAAA
rnacentral:lncRNA from 1 species